GAUGAACGCUGGCGGCGUGCCUAAUACAUGCAAGUCGAGCGAACAGACGAGGAUCUUGCUCCUCUGACGUUAGCGGCGGACGGGUGAGUAACACGUGGAUAACCUACCUAUAAGACUGGGAUAACUUCGGGAAACCGGAUCUAAUACCGGAUAAUAUAUUGAACCGCAUGGUUCAAUGGUGAAAUACGGUUUUUCUGUCACUUAUAGAUGGAUCCGCGCCGCAUUAGCUAGUUGGUAAGGUAACGGCUUACCAAGGCAACGAUGCGUAGCCGACCUGAGAGGGGGAUCGGCCACACUGGAACGGAGACACGGUCCAGACUCCUACGGGAGGCAGCAGUAGGGAAUCUUCCGCAAUGGGCGAAAGCCUGACGGAGCAACGCCGCGUGAGUGAUGAAGGUCUUCGGAUCGUAAAACUCUGUUAUUAGGGAAGAACAAAUGUGUAAGUAACUAUGCACGUCUUGACGGUACCUAAUCAGAAAGCCACGGCUAACUACGUG
rnacentral:rRNA from 1 species